rnacentral:lncRNA from 1 species
GAAGAGAGUUAUUCCGACCCUAGAUUUCAAAAGCCCACAAGGUUUAUGACCCAAUAUUCACUGUCUCCAAAUAAUUUAUGUUAAUGGUUUUCGAGCCAGCUUGAGCUUACGGACGGGGAACUGCGAAACGCCAGUUGCUAACGAAACAGCGUGAACUAUAGUGGUGUGCUUUUGACUGCGCGCUCGAUUUCAAGCUCACAACUUUUUUUGACUGUCUUCUACUUUUUCUCGCCGCACACAACAGUCGACUACAUAGAGAUUUUCCUUAAUUUCUACAAUAACGGUGGUUCUAAUAGUUGAACUUUGUAUGUGAAACCGUAAUCGCUUCGUCCUGAUUUGAAACAGGUCUUUCGUACGCAGGUCAUUAUAUAAUGACGAAAUUAUGAAGAAAUUUAUUCUAACAAUAAUUGGAGUAUAAAAUAUUUCAUGAUACACAUGCUACAUCUAAACUAAUAUUGAACAUAGCGUGUAGUAGAAUAAAUAUUUCAGCACCCGCCUUUUAAUCAGUCUGGAAUGAGGAAGCAAAAGGCGACGCUCGGCCAGGAAAAGGGGAAAACGGCAAAAUUCGGGAUGGAGGAGUCUCAAAGGGGCUCUCAGAUUACAGACUCCAAGGACUCGGAUAUAUAACGCGCCUUAAACGCGGCGCACCAUCCAGAAAACAGGGCGUGAGAGAGGAUCGAUCGAGCAUCAAGGGGUCGCCAUCCCGUCCCUCCACCCCCUCCCUCUGUACGAACACAUCAACCUCAGCACCUCGGUCUGAUAUGGCACAAGCUUCGUCCUCUGUCAACAAGAUGCGCGGAAAGUGCCUGAAUCUUUUCUGUUUCUGUGAUUUCUUCAACUUCUUUAUCAUCUAAUCCCCUGGACAGAUGGUGAUUGAGUGGACGAUAUUUGAAGGAAUAUUUCAAUAAAAAAAUAGCGUUAGAGUAAUAAUAAUAAUGCAGCCUUGAAAGAAACAUAAAAUAUCACAAAAGAUCCUCUGAAUAAUUAGCCCAUCAAUUCUCCUACAAAUUUAGAGAAAAUAAGUGGAUAGUCUUUAAGACGACGAGGCUUUAAUCCAACACCAAGUGACUUUUCCAAGAUAAUAAUCAUCAAGUGGAUAAGAGGACAAUCAGAAGAAAAACACUUAAAUAACACAAUUUGAAUUAAAGGGCGAUGGAAUAUGAUAUCAGCGAUCGACAUAAAUAAAUUAUGAAUCAAAACUAACAUUGGAAACAAAACAAAAGAGUA